rnacentral:lncRNA from 1 species
AUGCUUUCUAUAUCAAACCUAAACCUCCUCUGGUGCAACUUGAGGCCAUUUCCUUUUGUUGUGUCCAGUCUUGAUGGCCUAGAUUACCUUGUCCAUGGUAGGUGGGAAGCUUCCCCACGUGGUGCAGGGUGCUCAGAGGACACAGCCUGCUCUGGAGUGUGGGCAUGCACCCACAUACCUGCAGGCACUGCCCUCUUCAUCCUCCAUCAGCCUGUGCCUGCAGGCACUGCCCUCUUCAUCCUCAUCAGCCCCUGUGCCUGCAGACACUGCCCUCUUCAUCCUCCAUCACUGUGUGCCUGCAGGCACUGCCCUCUUCAUCCUCAUCAGCCCCUGUGCCUGCAGACACUGCCCUCUUCAUCCUCCAUCACUGUGUGCCUGCAGGCACUGCCCUCUUCAUCCUCAUCAGCCCCUGUGCCUGCAGACACUGCCCUCUUCAUCCUCCAUCACUGUGUGCCUGCAGGCACUGCCCUCUUCAUCCUCAUCAGCCCCUGUGCCUGCAGACACUGCCCUCUUCAUCCUCCAUCACUGUGUGCCUGCAGGCACUGCCCUCUUCAUCCUCAUCAGCCCCUGUGCCUGCAGACACUGCCCUCUUCAUCCUCCAUCACUGUGUGCCUGCAGGCACUGCCCUCUUCAUCCUCAUCAGCCCCUGUGCCUGCAGACACUGCCCUCUUCAUCCUCCAUCACUGUGUGCCUGCAGGCACUGCCCUCUUCAUCCUCCCUCGCUCUGUGCAGGAUAAAACUGCCAGGGAUGUGCCGGAUCCUGGGCUGGCAGUGCCACACGUGCCAGUGGGUCACCAUCCCCGGUGGGUGGGCUGGGCUGGCAUGCAGCCUGGCAGGUGUGGGGGGGCAGGCAGACGUGCAGGUGUGCCUGGGGCUCAGGUGGGUGUGCUGAUGGCAGUGAGAAGCGGGUGUGCUGUGUGCCUGAGCACAGCCCUGUUGGUCUUGUGUUGGCAGUGUUUAUUUGUGUUAUGGUUCACUCAAGGGCCGUCUCAGCGAGUCAGAAAUCAAAGUGUUGCAAGCUCUUGA